GGUUGUCGUCAGCUCGUGUCGUGAGAUGUUGGUUAAGUCCGCAACGAGCGCAACCCCUAUUGUUAGUUGCCAUCAUUCAGUUGGGCACUCUAGCGAGACUGCCGGUAAUAAACCGGAGGAAGGUGGGGAUGACGUCAAAUCAUCAUGCCCCUUAUGACCUGGGCUACACACGUGCUACAAUGGUUGGUACAACGAGUUGCGAGUCGGUGACGGCGAGCUAAUCUCUUAAAGCCAAUCUCAGUUCGGAUUGUAGGCUGCAACUCGCCUACAUGAAGUCGGAAUCGCUAGUAAUCGCGGAUCAGCACGCCGCGGUGAAUACGUUCCCGGGCCUU
rnacentral:rRNA from 1 species